GACGAACGCUGGCGGCGUGCUUAACACAUGCAAGUCGAACGGAGUGGCGAACGGGUGAGUAACACGUGGGUGAUCUGCCUUGCACUUCGGGAUAAGCUUGGGAAACUGGGUCUAAUACCGGAUAGUGCAAGAUGAGCUCGCGGCCAAUGAGCUUGUGGGUGGGGUAAUGGCCUACGAAGGCGUCGACGGGUAGCCGGCCUGGGAGGGUGGACGGCGACAAUGGGACUGAGAGACGGAGCAGACGCGUACGGGAGGCAGCAGGGGGGAAUAUGGCACAAUGAGCGGAAGCCUGAUGCAGCGACGCCGCGUGGGGGAUGCAGGCCAUCGUGUUGUAAACUCCUUUCGACAGGGACGCGGUACCUGUAUAAGAAGCACCGGCUAACUACGUGCCAGCAGCCGCGGUAAUAC
rnacentral:rRNA from 1 species